GGCGCGGUGAUGGAAUUGGUAUACAUGCUGGUUUCAAAAGCCAGAUUCUGAGAGUUCGAAUCUCUCCUGCGCCA
rnacentral:tRNA from 1 species